rnacentral:rRNA from 1 species
GACGAACGCUGGCGGCGUGCUUAACACAUGCAAGUCGAACGGAAAGGCCCUUCGGGGUACUCGAUUGGCGAACGGGGGAGUAACACGUGGGUGAUCUGCCCUGCACUUUGGGAUAAGCCUGGGAAAAUGGGGCUAAUACCAAAUAUGAUCAUCGGCUUCAUGAUCGGUGGUGGCAAGCUUUUGCGGUGUGGGCUGGGCCCGCGGCCUAUCAGCUUGUUGUUGGGGGAAUGGCGUGCCAAGGCGACGACGGGUAGCCGUCCUGAGAGGGUGACCGGCGACAAGGGGACUGCGAUAGGGACCAGACUCCUACGGGAGGCAGCAGUGGGGAAUAUUGCACAAUGGGCGCAAGCCUGAUGCAGAGACGCCGCGUGAGGGAUGACGGCCUUCGGGUUGUAAACCUCUUUCAGCACAGACGCAGCGCAAGUGACGGUACGUGAAGAAGAAGGACCGGCCAACUACGUG